UACGGAGGGAGCUAGCGUUUUUCGGAAUUACUGGGCGUAAAGAGCAUGUAGGCGGCUUAUUAAGUUGAAAGUGAAAGCCCAGGGCUUAACCCUGGAACUGCUUUCAAAACUGAUAAGCUAGAGGAUGAUAGGGGACAGUGGAAUUCCUAGUGUAGAGGUGAAAUUCUUAGAUAUUAGGAGGAACACCGGUGGCGAAGGCGACUGUCUGGAUCAUUGCUGACGCUGAGAUGCGAAAGCGUGGGGAGCAAAC
rnacentral:rRNA from 1 species